rnacentral:rRNA from 1 species
UACGGAGGGUGCAAGCGUUAUCCGGAUUCACUGGGUUUAAAGGGUGCGUAGGCGGACAGGUAAGUCAGUGGUGAAAUCUCUGAGCUUAACUCAGAAACUGCCGUUGAUACUAUUUGUCUUGAAUAUCAUGGAGGUAAGCGGAAUAUGUCAUGUAGCGGUGAAAUGCUUAGAUAUGACAUAGAACACCAAUUGCGAAGGCAGCUCACUACACAAUCAUUGACGCUGAGGCACGAAAGCGUGGGGAUCAAACAGG